ensembl:lncRNA
AUGAGAUAGGUGUUACUACUAUUCCUCCCAUUUUGCAGAUGUGGGAUGAGGCACAGAGAGGUUGAGUAACCACUGAAGGCCACACAGCCAGUACAUGGCGAGCCAGGAUUCUCUCCACGGCUCUACUGUGCUGCCUCCAGAGAACCAGGGGCCAUCACAAACUGGAUGGACAUCCCAGUGUGUCUUCUACUCUUGACAAGUCCCCUCCCGGUAACUUGACAAGGACAGGCAGGGAGAAGACGGGGGGUAAGACCUGUGUGUGUUACAGUUUACACGACAACUUCACACACGUUUCCUCAUCUCAAGCUCACCACAGCCCCCGGGGGAAACGGAGGCCCGGCGAGCAUGUGACGGGCCUGGGGCGCCCCCAGGGUCUCGGGGAUGUUGCUUGCUCCCCUCGGCCUUGGCAGGUGCACCGGGGCUGGGCCGCUGGUGCGGCGAAGACGGGCCGGCGGCGCCCGGACACCAGACGAGCACCAUCUAUGUGCAAGGCCCUCUCUGAUCCAGGGCUGCGUUGCGGUUCUCCAAGUCCUGACGCCGUGGAAGCCACUAGGAGAGGCUGGAGCCAGGCGCGAGGCCUCCCCGCCCGGGCGCGUAGCUGCGGCUGCUCCCUGCCCGGUCCUCUGCGCGGAGCCAGCAAGGCGCUCAAAUUAGACCCGUGAGCACCUCCCCGAGGUUAAGGGCGCCUCGUGGGCCCCCGGCCAGGACUCGGCCGAGCCGGAAGUCCGGGGGAGGGGCCCCUAACUGCAGAGCGACAGUCACCCAGGAGCAGGUGGGGCUCCCCCAAAACCACGCACCUGCUCCUCGGGCUCCUUCUAGAAACCUGCGGGAGCUGAAGACCAGGCGCGGCGCCAGCUUCUCUUCACCCCUGUCCGCGAGGUCCCUAGAGACCCUGGAGCUGUCGGUAGCAGGAGGGGUUUACACCAGGUGACCCGUGAGCAGCUUCCCAGCUCUGACCCCAAGACAAGUUCUCUGUGACCUCAGGACGACCCGCAGUGAGGGAGCAUGCUCGCCAGUCACAAAGACCGUUUUAUCUCUUCGUGUUCCCAGCACAGCGCCCAGCACACAGCAGAGUCCUGCCCUGUGAGGUCAAAGCCUUCGGAGCUGGAGGGAAGGACCAGAGAAGACGGCCCACCACCAGCAGCCGCGUCAGGGUUUGCACGGUGAGGAAUUCCACGGAGCCGCUCAGUGCUGAAUGUGUGCCCAAAGUCAUAGGCUGAGACCUAAGCCCCAAGGUGAUGGUGUUAGGAGGUGGGGCCUCCGGGGGUGAUUAGGGCAUGAGGGCGGGGCCCUCAGGAAUGGGAUUAGCAUCAUUAUGAAGGAGACUGAGAAGAGCUCUCUGCCCCUUCGGUCACGUGAGGACGCAGUGAGAAGCCAUCCGUCUGUGCGCCAGGGAGCCGGCUCACUCCAGACCCCGCGUCUGCCCAGCCCUUGAGAUUGGACUCUGAGCAUCGGGAAGUGUGAGAAAUAAGUGUCUGUGGUUUAAGGGCCAGGCUGCAGUAUUUUCCUAUAUGGUCUAAGACAGGGGCAGACUUGGCUUGUUUUUAGCGUUUUAGGGAAAUGAAUGCCAGUUUUGAGUGACUGUCACCUUGCACCUGCCCCUGGACAAGGAGCAGCAGGGCGUGGGAGAGAGGCAUGGGGGGAGGGGCUCCAGAGGGCCACAUCGUCACCCACUGCAUCUGGCAACACCAGUAAGUGGGCUGGGCCCCUCCCUGGGUGGCCUGGGGACCCCUGGGCCGGAGGAAAGGGGAUGAGAGCAGAGGGGUGGGAGGUCCAGAGCUCUGCUCCUGGUGGGGGGCUGGGUGUCCUGAGGGGAGGCCCCAGCACCCCUGGCCUGUGACCUGCCAUCACUGCUGGCCCAGGAGGAAGAGUGGACAGACACCCACAGGGGCAGAGAGACCCCGAGGCCAGCAGGCGACCUGCACACUGGGUCCAGGCAGGGGUCAAGGACAGGGCUGGAGUGAGCGAGAUGCUCAGGUCCGACACUGUCGCCCUGAAGAAGGCAGGUGGCCUUCCUGUUGGGCCACUGCCACUCUGAGCUGUGCCUGCAGGCCACACGCACUCUGUGCUCAGGCCCCUGGUGAAGCCACAUCUGCCAGACGUGAGCCACCAGGGACAGGACGACCCUAAGAAGUCAACCCCGGCCUCACUGGGGGUCCAGGGCCCAGCAGUUGGGAGACCACCCCUCCUCCCUGGGCAAUGGGGAGGAGCUUGACGACCCCAUCGGGGUGGCCUCUAGGGGAGCCCUGGGCCCUGAGGCACGAGGUCCACCCCGCGCUAGGGCAGACUCAGAGCUGAGCUCCUCAGGAGCAAGAGGCUACCCAGCUGCAGGGAGGGGGGGGUCAGCGGAUGGCUAACCCGAGGACGGGGUCUGCCUCGGCUGCCAAGGUCAAGGUCAUCUUCUCGGGCCCUGCAGCCAGAGUGAGGGAGGGUGCGAGGGCCCAGCCCCUUCCGCCCCACGCGGGCUCCUCCGACGGGCAGCGAUGGCUCGGAGCUCCACCGGGCUGUCGGAGGCGCGCGCAGCAGAUCCGAACAUCAGUUUACCAACCCCUCCUACCCACCCCUGCUCGUCCCUUCUCUCCACCGGUGCUGCUCCCCAAUAAAUCUUUUGCUCCCCUGACUCUGGCUCAGGGUUGGCCUCCUGGAGAACCUAACCUGCAGCACCCUCUUCCGCGCCCUUGUGCCUCAGUUUCCCCUCGUGGGGUGGUACCUGUGCUUCGGGUUCAACACUGCACGAACAGGAGGAUGACCUGUUUCCUCAGUACCCGAAACACCCCCCCGCACCCAGCCGGCAGGGCACGCGCAGUGGAGAAGGGGGCGCCCGCCUCUGGUGGCCUCAGCGCCCACCCCACCAAGGGGCUGCCACUAAAAACAAAACACGACAUCACAAGACCCAGAGAAAGCGGGGGAACCGAAGGCUGGCUGUUCUCCGGGGCGCCCCCUCCCCGCUCCCCUGCGGGCUGGCAGAAGGGGCCCCCUCGGACUUUAGGACGCUCCCCAGUCACCGCCUGCGGCUGGGACCACGCUCUGCUCCCCAUCCCUGCUUGCCCCAGGUCUGCAGCUCCCCUCGUGAUGCCGAGGUGACACGUUCCCCCGCCGAGCCGGCCCCGUGCACGCCCACCCCCGGAGCGCUCCGACCCCGUGGGCCCCCCCCCCACCCCCGCCCCCCCAGGAGGAGAGAGCAGCCGGCCUGUGCCGGCCCUGCUCCCAAUCCCAGCGCCCGCAUACCCUGCACAAGCGGUCAGCGCCGCCGAGGGUCUCCCCGCAUCCAUCCCACCCCACGCCUGCCAGCACGCGGCCUGGGGGCCUACCCUGGGCCCGCAGGGAGAGCACAGCCCUGGCCCAUGGAAGGUUCUGGACUGCAGAGAUCUCCUGCCUACAGCCUCCACCACGGAAUCCAAGGCGCUCCGGACCCUCUUCCCCACGCAGCCCUUCAGGUGCGGGAGUCCCCGAGGCCCCUUCUCUGAGCUAAAACACGCCACUCUUCCCAUUCCUCCUCAUGUGACUGGAUUUUGAGCCCUCCCACCAUCCUGGCCACACAGUCUGGAAUGUGGUUUGCUGAUGACUUUCCGAAAGUGGGGUUCCCAGGGCUCAAUACGCUCCCGGGAGCGGUCAGGUCAGCCGGCCCGGGGAAGGCUCUGCGGACACGUUUUGUUGACCCAACUUGAGGUCCUAUCAGCUGUCGCGGACCCCACGCAGACUCUGCAGUCACAAUGCCCCGAUUCAUGUCCCUUCUCAGCCAGUUCCACCUUGGGUAAAUUAUUUAGCUUCUCUGUACCUCAGUUUACUUAACUGUAAAAUAGGGUCAUAACGGCACCCCCUCUCCCCCACCCCAAGCCAAGACGCGGGAAAAGAGCCGGGCGGCCGUCGGCCGGCAGAGGGCGCUGCACGCCCGCCUUGGACGGGAUGCGCUGCCGGACGCGGCCGCCAGGGGUCGCCCGAGCGCCGCGGCGGACCGAGGAGACCCCUGGCCGGGCCGCGCCUGCACCACCCGACUGGUACCCACGAGGGGGGAGGGGGGAGGCUGCGCCGACCCUGGACUGGCCGCCCCUUGCCUGCGCCUCACCCCGCCCUUCUGGAAGACUCGGAGCAGUUUACUGCAACCUCCGCACACCUGAUGCGGAGCCAAAUCGCAGGCGCUGUGGCCGCCAAGCAGGUGCAAAGGGGAGCGAGGCUCGGGGGGAAUCGGGGGGAUGUGUGACCCCAGUGACGCAAAGCCUUUGAAAGAGCGGCAGUGACACCGCCCAGAGGCGCAGGACACACCCCCGGGACCCGGCCACAUCCGAGAACAGGAUAGGGCUGCUCACCCGCUCCUGAGACCCGCGCUGCCUCGGGUCAUCACAUCCUCCCCCUGGCCCCCACCCUGGACCUCUCCACCCUGCAUGGGGUGCGCUUGCUGUGUCCAGGUGUCCAGACAGGUGAAUUAGAAGGAUCUGGGGAGUCACGGAUGGGAUACGGAACUGAAAUCUACUUCCUCCCCUUGGCCAUGAAAUGGGAGAAAACCUCCUCUGUUCAGGGUGGGGAAGGGCAUACAUGGUUCCUGGAGGAGGAAGCCAAGGGCAGCAUUUUGAUCUGGCCCACAGUAGAGAAAAAGUCCUGUCUCCAAGGUCUGCCAAGGGUUUGGCAUCCAAGGUAAGAUCAGGACAACAUAUCUAGGAUGGUUAAUUUUAUGUGUCAAGUUGACUGGGCCCAGAAAUUUGGUCAAAUAUUAUUCUGGAUGUGUCUGUGAGGGAGUUUUUGAAAGAGAUUGACAUUUAAAUCAAGAGACUGAGUAAAGCAGAUUGCCCUCCCUGGUGUAGGUGGGCCUCACCCAAUCAGUUGAAGGCCUGAAGAGAACAAAAAGGCCGAGGCUCCCACGAGUAAGAGGGAACUCCUCCUGCCUGACUGAUUUCCAGCUGGGACAUCAGCUUUUUCCUGUCUUCAGACUUGAGCUGAAACAUCGGUUUCUCUUGGGUCUUGAGCCUGCCUGCCUUCAGACUGGAACAUCAUCAGCCCUCCUGGGUCUCCCGCUUGCUGACUGCAGAUCUUGGGGCUUGUCAGCCUCUGUAGUUACCUGAGCAAUUCCAUACCCUCUUGGUUCUACCCCUCUGGAGAACCCUGGCCAUUCACUGGCCUAAUCGACAGAGCAACAUGGUAUCAUUCUCCUCUCCUCUCACAUCAGCAAAGACAAGUCCUUCAGGUGUAUGGAGGAAAUCGAACGUGUGCAAGUCUGUCGAGUCAACAUGCUGUCUUUGGAGUCCGUCCUUGGGAACCAACUGCACGUGGUGGGGUGUCUUGUGCACAUAAGGAUGUUGGGAAGGACGCUCCCCCACCCAGCGCCCACUGCCCUCCUGGUAAAGGGGCUUCAAUGCCUGGUCAGUCAGAGCAGUCUCCUGGCCAGGGGAUUGGCUCAGGUUGGGCCAAGCCAGGUCAAUUAGGGUAAAUGAGAUUUUAUUCUGGCAAUUUGUAGGAACUGACUUUAAAAAAAAAAAGUGUUUGCUUUUUCUUCUGAGAAGAUAGUUAUCCACUGAGGCUUCUGGCAGCCAUCUUGUCACCAUGAGGGGAAUAGCCGGCCUGAGAAUUUCCAAAGCACACAGGAAAGUCUGAGAGCCACUCAUGCCCCAAGCCGGAGACUUCCCCUGGGUGUUUCAUUUCCAUAAGCAGUAAUUUCUCUUGUUUGAUUCAGCAAGUGUAGCUUGUGUUUCUACAAUUCUGACUGAUUCGACAGGGCUGCACUGCUGUAACAGUGGCAAACAGGUCAUUGAAAUGGCCGCAACGGUAAGUUGAUCAAAUAACUGUCCAGGAUCCUAAUAAAAUGCUUUACAGCAAUUAGACAAGAGGAUGUAGAUCUGUAUUUGUAGGCACAGAAACUGGUCCACGUUAUAGUAUUAAGUUUUUUAAAAGGUUAUAAAACAGCAACAGCAUAUAAUCUGGGAGAAUAAAUAGCAAACAUCUUACCCACGGUUACUUCUAAGUGGUAGAAUUGUAAAUUUUUUUAUACAUUUAGUGUUGUCUUAUUAUCCUUCAAUGCUAAUUGUUUACUUUCUAAAUUUUUUUUAUUUAAAAAAAAUUUUUUUUUUUGGAAGAUUAGCCAUGAGCUAACUGCUGCCCAUCCUUCUCUUUUUGCUGAGGAAGACUGGCCCUGAGCUAACAGCCAUGCCCAUCUUCCUCUACUUUAUAUGUGGGACGCCUACCACAGCAUGGCUUGUCAAGCGGUGCCAUGUCCGCACCCGGGAUCCGAACCAGCGAACCCUGGGCUGCCUAGAAGUGGAAUGUGUGCACUUGACCACUGUGCCACCGGGCCG